GGGAUGAUCAGCUGUCUGGGCGUGCCGGAAGAUCUAAAGAGGAGUAGAAAUAUGAAAUGGAACUUAAACUUAUCAAAUCAACCAGGAAAAGAAAUUCCAAGCUGAGGAAAGAGCACCUGCAAAGUUGUAAAGAUACAUUUGAAAAGAGAAGAUGACAUCAAUAUAUUUGAUGGCGUCCCCGUGAAGAGUGGUUGCCAAUACUACAGGAAGAGAAAAGAACUUUGAAAAGUAGAUAGAAUUUCACUCCGCAAAGCAUUGUUUAGUGAACCAACUGGAUUAUAAUUCAAAUAGGCCUAACACUUGGGUGACAUUUUUCUCUUGCACCGGACUUGGGCUACUCUGCUUUGGCUUUGAAUGUCCAUUAAGUUUCUGAGACGUGCCCUCCAGCAGACAUGCCUCUCCUCCAUUAAAGGUACUCGGCACCCAUGUUUUAGAAACAGGGUUAACGUACACAAACUGUGUCACAAGCUUUGGAUAGGAAUUGCUAAUAAAAACUGGGAGUCCUGCAAAAUCCUAGCCUUUUAAAUUUCUCUUGAGAUCAUUCAUGGGGUGAGGUGAGAGUGAGUCAAGAAGUCUAGUUUCCAAGACUUUGAAAGCCUUGAACAACUAGUCCCAGAAAUCCUCCUGAACCACACAUGAAGGUGACAAAGACCACUUAGACUGGGUAUUCUGUCAUUCAUUUUCUAUAAUUAAAAUCACUGAUAAGAAUAUUUUGAUAACACUGCAUUUACUAUUGUAAGUCAAGCAGUGUACUAUGUAUUUGGCAUAUGUUAUUUCAUAUAAUCACCUAACCACCCCAUAAGGGUAAGUAUAAUUACCCCACUUCACAGAUCAGGUAACAGAGAUACAGAAAGCUUAAGUGACUAUUAAGGUCUAUCCACAGAGCUUGUGUUCUGAAUCAUGAUGUCCCCAAAUUCUUUCAACUAAGCAUGUUAUCUAUUUUAUUAAUUUAGGCUUUGUAAUAUUGUGGCAUGGCAGAACUUAAUCACUUUUCCUUCAAAAAUUUAAGAAAGAUAAAGAUUUGAGUAAAUACAUAUGGACAAUGUGGACAUUUGGAGAGCAAAUGCUGACUUUCAGACUUCGUAUUUGUAUUUGACUUGAAGAAUUCUUCUGAUAUGUAUGUAUGUAUGUAUAUUGCAUUAGGCCAAAGUUGAGUCCUCAUAAC
rnacentral:lncRNA from 1 species